rnacentral:ncRNA from 2 species
UACUUAUCAAGAAAGAUAGAGGGACUGGGCCCUAUGAUGUCUUAGCAACCUGCGCUCCCCAUAGCAAGGUGCUAACUCCCAGCUCGAAGGUGUUCGGGAAUAGAUGAGUU